rnacentral:rRNA from 1 species
UGAGUACGAGACGCUAAGGCGUCGAAGUAGUGGAUGUCAUACUUCCAAGAAAAGCUUGCACUGUCAUAAGUAAAAAACGCCUGUACCAUAACCGACGCAGGUGGGUAGGUAGAGUAUACUAAGGGGCGCGAGAUAACUCUCUCUAAGGAACUCGGCAAAAUAACUCCGUAACUUCGGGAGAAGGAGUGCCUUAUUCGUAAGGCUGCAAUAACAAGAUCCAAGCAACUGUUUAUCAAAAACACAGGUCUCCGCUAAGUCGUAAGACGAUGUAUGGGGGCUGACGCCUGCCCAGUGCCAGAAGGUUAAAGAAGUCGGUUAGCAUUAGCGAAGCUGGUAACUGAAGCCCUGGUGAACGGCGGCCGUAACGAUAACGGUCCUAAGGUAGCGAAAUUCCUUGUCGGGUAAGUUCCGACCCGCACGAAAGGCGUAAUGAUUUGGAUACUGUCUCGGAGAGGGGCUCGGUGAAAUAGACUUGUCUGUGAAGACGCGGACUACCUGCACCAGGACAGAAAGACCCUAUGAAGCUUUACUGUAACUUGAAAUUGAAAUUGGACUUUAUUCGCGCAGUAUAGGUGGGAGGUGUUGAUUAUAAUCUUGCGGGAUUAUUGGAGCCAUCAGUGAGAUACCACUCUUGUAAUGUUAGAUUUCUAACUUUGAAUCAUUAUCUGGUCAAAGAACAGUUUCAGGCGGGCAGUUUGACUGGGGCGGUCGCCUCCUAAAUGGUAACGGAGGCGUACAAAGGUUUCCUCUGAACGGGUAGAAAUCGUAUCUAGAGUGUAAAGGCAUAAGGAAGCUUGACUGUGAGACCUACAAGUCGAGCAGGGACGAAAGUCGGUCUUAGUGAUCUGACGGUACUGAGUGGAAAGGCCGUCACUCAACGGAUAAAAGUUACUCUAAGGAUAACAGGCUGAUCUCCCCCAAGAGUUCACAUCGACGGGGAGGUUUGGCACCUGGAUGUCGGCUCAUCGCAUCCUGGGGCGGUAGUACGUCCCAAGGGUUGGGCUGUUCGCCCAUGAAAGCGGUACGCGAGCUGGGUUCAGAACGUCGUGAGACAGUUCGGUCCAUAUCCGGUGUAGGCGUUAGAAUAUUGAGAGGAGCCUUCUUUAGUACGAGAGGACCGAGAAGGACAUACCUCUGGUGUACCAGUUAUCGUGCCAACGGUAAACGCUGGGUAGCUAUGUAUGGAGUGGAUAACCGCUGAAAGCAUCUAAGUGGGAAGCCCACCUCAAGAUAAGUAUUCUCACC